UCCACAGCGGCAACAACAAAAGAAAAAAUCCCGUUCCGCAACAAAAACAACCCCUGUCCUUUCUCUUCCGCCUCUCAUUUCCUUCUUUAUUUCCCCGAUUCUUCCCCUCGUCGCCUUCGACUAAUUGAUUUCAGGUUCCGGCCCGGUUUCUAGGGCUUCGACUAGUGGGAUCAGAGGAGACCGGCAUGGAUUGGGGGCGACGUGAAGGUGGAGGACCCGAUCGACGCCCUCAGGGAAGUGGACCCGUACUCUUCCCCGCGCCCCAUUCGGAAUUCUUCUCCCGAUUCACCUUCCCCAGAUCUUACGCCAAAUGGAGCAGCCCAAUCAAGUGCAAUCUCUACUACUUUGCAGUUACUUUUGAUGAGAAAAUGAAAAGGACUGUCAAACGCUUUUCUCCUCAUUAGCUGCAAAGUUGAGGCCACCAAUAGCGGGAGCUCUCAGUCUGGCUUUGACACUAUUUAUCUGUAUUGUGGGUGUCAACUAGCUAAUGGAACAUAUAUACAUAGACCUGUUCUUCGUGGGCGACCGUCUACAAUAAGAGCAAUCCGUAUUUGUGGACAGCCUUGAUGGAUGUUUGUCUUGAUUUUCUCAGCUGCUAGUUGCAUCCUCUGGUUGACCACCUCCAAUCUGGUUGCUGUGCUUUGGGCACUCGUCGACGGACUGCUUGCAACUACACUUAACGCAACCUUCCAAAUGCCUAACCUGAAGGCAUGGCUUAACACAUGAUGUGAGGAACUUGGUGCAAUAUGGCGCAACUAUAGUGUGUUACAACCACAGAGGUCGAUAAGGAGUAAGUUCUUCAAAAGUUUGAUGUUCUAUUCUCUUCUGUGCAUAUUAUUUAGAAUGAGAUACUGCCGGAAGUAGAGUAGCCAAAAACUCUUCCGUGUUUCUUUAGCAUUUCAUCAUCUUUUCUCUCUCUAAUCUACUAUGAAGAUGCUUGAUGUUUUUUUUUCUUUUGGUAUGCAUUAAUAUAUGUAGAAAACAUUUACCAUAUCUGUAGGUUGUUUGACAUGUAUUCUUUAAGAGUUUUGUAUGCUUAGUUACGGAGGAA